rnacentral:rRNA from 1 species
ACUCCCACGGGAGGCAGCAGUAGGGAAUCUUCGGCAAUGGACGAAAGUCUGACCGAGCGACGCCGCGUGAGUGAAGAAGGUUUUCGGAUCGUAAAACUCUGUUGGUAGAGAAGAACGUUGGUGAGAGUGGAAAGCUCAUCAAGUGACGGUAACUACCCAGAAAGGGACGUCUAACUACGUGCCAGCAGCCGCGGUAAU